UAGCUGGCUUUCCUUGCCUUUCCACGUCUACGUUUUUCAUAUACCCCAAUUGUAUGUAACAGAAUGUAUCAUUGGGCCCUUGUGCCUAUAAACCUUAUACAACUUUCAGCAACGGAUCUCUUGGCUCUCGCAUCGAUGAAGAACGCAGCGAAAUGCGAUAAGUAAUGUGAAUUGCAGAAUUCAGUGAAUCAUCGAAUCUUUGAACGCACCUUGCGCUCCUUGGUAUUCCGAGGAGCAUGCCUGUUUGAGUGUCAUUAAAUUCUAAACCUUUAUCAGCUUUUGUUGAUAACGGCUUGGAUAUGGGGGUUUUUUUUUGCUGGCUUCUUCACAGAUGGUCAGCUCCCCUUAAAUGCAUUAGCCGGUGCCCCGCGUGGACUGUCUAUUGGUGUGAUAAUUAUCUACGCCGUGGACAUCGCUCUCUUAGCGGUUGCGCAUAUCCUUA
rnacentral:rRNA from 1 species